GACGAACGCUGGCGGCGUGCUUAACGCAUGCAAGUCGAACGGAAAGGCCCUGCUUUUGUGGGGUGCUCGAGUGGCGAACGGGUGAGUAACACGUGAGUAACCUGCCCUUGACUUUGGGAUAACUUCAGGAAACUGGGGCUAAUACCGGAUAGGAGCUCCUGCUGCAUGGUGGGGGUUGGAAAGUUUCGGCGGUUGGGGAUGGACUCGCGGCUUAUCAGCUUGUUGGUGGGGUAGUGGCUUACCAAGGCUUUGACGGGUAGCCGGCCUGAGAGGGUGACCGGCCACAUUGGGACUGAGAUACGGCCCAGACUCCUACGGGAGGCAGCAGUGGGGAAUAUUGCACAAUGGGCGGAAGCCUGAUGCAGCAACGCCGCGUGCGGGAUGACGGCCUUCGGGUUGUAAACCGCUUUCGCCUGUGACGAAGCGUGAGUGACGGUAAUGGGUAAAGAAGCACCGGCUAACUACGUGC
rnacentral:rRNA from 1 species